CUCUCAUGCUUCACAGAAGCUUUCACCAGCUUUCUGUAAAAAGCCGGAGAUCUCAUUUCUGAGUCUUGCAGUUCUGGCGUUGGAGAAGAACUUUGAUAGAAAAGCCUUCUUGCAAUCAUCCCAGGUGGUGAUUGAGUCAUGGAGCAGAUUCUUCUCCCAGAUGUGUGCUUUGUCGCCCAAGGAGAAUGGAAACAAACGGAGCUUGAAUCCGUUUUCACUGACACCAUUGAUUUUUGUUAGGUUGUAGAGCCUAUCGAAUUCAUCAAGGUGGUCGAGUGGAUCCUCCAUUGGCAAA
rnacentral:sRNA from 1 species